rnacentral:sRNA from 1 species
GUGACAGCCCUGGAGACUAUAGACCUCUCCUUAUCCACUGAACAGGAAUAGCAUGGACAGUAUUAGUGCAAAAAAUAUUCUACUACUGCCCCAUCAAUGUGCAGAAAGACAACUUCUACACAAGUAAGGAUGGUAAUCCUUCACUCUCUUCCGUGUCCAUUCAGUGCUUGGCCUCU